GUGUGUGUGUGUGUGUGUGUGUGUGUGUGUGUGUGUGUGUUUGGUGGGGGUGGAGUAGGGCGAGGGGAUGGGGGGGGUAGUCCUGGCCAGACUUUUAAAAGUUUAUUUAACGACUUUGUGAGGUCAGAUUUCCUUCCAAGAUCGGGAAGUUCUAGUCUUUGCGGCGGCUUAAAUGCCAGAUCCGAAGCCGGAGGGGAGGAGAGAGGGGCUCGGGGGAGGGCCAGCGUGCAGCCGAGUGCCCUGAGUGCCCUCAUUCAGCGGCGACACUUAAUCCCGGGGCGCCCUUGUCGCCUGUCCCGCGUCUAUUGUUCCUCCCUGGACGCUGAGUGACCUCUUUUCACUAGGGCGCGUGCUACUGACACGAGUUUGGAAGUCAGAAGUAACCCCCCCCCCUCCGCGCGCGCUCCCAUCUCCUUGCGACUGCUUGGGCUUUUUCACUUUUUUUUUUUUAAACCCCCUUGGCCUCCUCUUUCUUUCCCUUCUCCGCUUGCUGUUUUCUGUUUCCACUUAGUUGCUGUGACCGUUUGACGUGUCGCAAGGAGCUGGUCGUGCCCCAGGAAACGAACUGGGUUCUUGGGUUCUCCAGGCCUGGAUCCCCCCCUCCCAAGGGCUGAGAAAUAUUUCCGUGGCAUGGCGUGAAAAUCCCCUGGUGCUUUAAAAAGCAAGGACAGCAUCUCCCCUAGGUUUAUACACGCAAAGCGUUUCUGUAUUCAUACGGUGCUGCUCAUUUAGUAUGCAGUGUGACAUGUAUUGUGAAAGAUUGUGCUGCAGAUCAAGACAGCAAGACAGUUUAUUGCUUGAAGAGCUUGAUAUGGGUAUCCCGAGGCUUUAUUGCCUGCAUCUGUUCGCUGCCAUAACCCGUGGGAGGUACUGAGUGAGGUGUAGGCUCCCAGGCCAGGAGGGGAAGGUGUUCUGACUCUGAACAGAACAGUGGGCGGCUUGGUUUGUUGAUAGACGUGACUUUUAAAUUCCUGGGAAGAUUUUCAAAGUAAGGAAGUAAAAUGUACGGAGCAAAGCAUUUUUUUUUAUUAUUUAUUUUUAUCCUUUCUUCCUUUUCCAGGAAUUACAGAACACUUUACAGAUUUGCUUGUCAUCCUUGCCCAGGGACCAUGCUAAUCAUCUCUGGAUCAUUCCUGUUUUAUUUAGUGUAUGCACUGCAAAGCACUCAUUAACGUAGAACAUUGCUAUCACCUAGGGCUACAUAAGCUGUUCUCAUUUUAUUGGGCUGAUUUUUCCAAGAAGAUCUAGCAUACUGUGUGGUAGUGAGAUUAUCUUUUCUCAAGAAAUGCAAAGAGAGGUGUGGCUUAAGGAUGUAUUAUUGCUGGUAGUGAUUUUUUUCCCUGAUGUUGUACCACUUGGUGGUUUCUAGAAGUCUUGAAAACACCCAGGGAGAUCAAGGUGUUUGUGGUAAACGCAGGAUGGGGAGAAGGGGUGUGUGUGUGUGUGUGUGUGGUAGUGGGGGAAUUUCUUUCUUCUCUUGCCAGGCAAGGGAAUGUAGCCCAACUGCUCUGCAUCCUGCAUAAUAACAAAGGGGAAAAAUGUUACCGUUUCUGUUUCUUGUUUUUUACCUUGUUCUCUUAACAAGAAAGAAAGGAGGAAAAGGGAACCAACACAUGGCCUUGUUUUCGUGUCCUGGUCUUCGCUGUGUCCCAGGGCUUGGGCUCUACCUGCCACCCAAAGGUCGCUGCAUGAGUCAUAAUUGAAUGAGCAAAUGCCUUCUUGGUUGAUGCUGAUUGAGACUUGACUGCUUUCAAAUGUAUGGGAUCACGUGAUUUUCCGGGCUCGCUCUGGAGCAUUAACUUAAUGCAAGGUAAGGUUUUGAAGUGAUAGCAUAAAGGACCACACGGAGAGAGCAGGAGGCCUGGAAGUUAGGUUUUUCUGACUCAGAUUCCAAUCUUUUUUUUUUUUUAAUGACCUCUCAGCUAUUAAAAAUCAUUUAAAAGUUCCAUUUUCCCUUUGCAAGUAUGAACAUUUACCCUCUCGGUAUAGGAAUUUCUUCGGGGUUUGCUCUCUUCCCCAGUGUAUGUCAUCGUUACAGUGUUUCUAAUUCGUGUCUCUGGGUUUGCUCUGCUUCAAAUUAUCCACCUAAUUGUUGAUUUAAACACAGCCAGAAAUGUAGAUAGUUCAUAAUUUGCUUUUUCUGGUUUCCCAAUAAAAUCAAGCUGCCUAUGAAUACAGGACACGUUCCGAUUUCCAAACAGUAGGAAGGAUCUAAAGUUAUUAACACAGACUGUUAGGGCGUGGCUUCCCUCCCAGCUCAGGUGAUCACCUGAUUCCUGAACCUUUGGUGGUUAAUAGAAUUAAGAAAAUGAGAGUCAGGCGUUGUGGCACAGAGGUAAGCUGCUGCUUGUGACUCCAGCAUCGCGUAUUGUCCCAUGUUGAGUGCUGCUUUGCUUCUGAUCCAGCUCCCUGCUAAGGCACCUGGGAAAGCAGGCCCAGCCCCAGCUGUUGUGGCCAGCUGGGGAGUGAAGCAGUGGAUGGAAGAUCUCUAAGAGAUGGAACAUCUGUCUAUGUUACGCUGCCAUUCAAAUAAACAAAUUUAAAAAAAAGUUAAAAAAAAUUUUUUUAAUUGAAAAGCAGAGAGGGAGAGAAGAGUUUCCAUUUGCUGGUUCACUCCCUAGUUGGCUACAGCAUCAAGGUUGGGCCAAGCCAAAGGCAGGAGCUUGGAAUUCCAUUCAGGUCUCACUUGUGGGUGGCAGGGGAUCAUGUACUUGGGCUACUUUCUGCUGCCUUCUCAGGCAUACUGGCAGGGGUCUGGAUUGGAAGUGGAGCAGCUGGAACUUGAACCCAUGCUCAUUGGGAUACCGGCAUCUCAAGCAGCGAUGUGCCACGAUGCUGGCCCUGUAAAAAUAAAGCUUUAAGAACAAAAAGAAAAUGAGAGACUUUUUUGUUUUGGAAGUAGAAUAGUCAAGAAGUCUUGAGCAAUUUGAUAUUGAUUUCUGACCACCUGUACUUUCUAAAAAGCUACAAUGCUAAAGAAUUAUUUAUAAAGCAAGCCUGUCGAUUCCACAUAGCAGGCCUCAUGUUUGUCCUUUGUGUUUUCUUGUUAUCAUUUGUUUUUUUUUAAAGAUUUAUUUAUUGGUUUGGAAGGCAGAGUUACAAAGAGAACAAGAGAUAGAGCUCUUCCAUCUGCUGAUUCACUCCCCAAAUGGCUGCAAUGGCCAAGGCUGGGUGGAAGCCAGGAGCUUCAUCUGGGUCUCCCAUUUGGGUGCAGGGGUCCAAGCACUUGUGCCAUCUUCUGCUGCUUUUCCAGGUGCAUUAGUGGGGAGCUGGAUCAGAAGUAGAGCAGCCGGGAUUCAAACUGCUGCCCAUAUGGGAUGCUGGUGUCACAGGCAGUGCCUUAAACCACUGCGCUGCAAUGCCUACAUUCAAGUGUUUGUGUGGCUUUUGAUUUGGUUGUAUCUUGUUAGAUUCGGCAGUAAUGAACUGUACUCUCCUAUAAGUGUUUGCACUGGAACUUAUGGAGGCAGAUUAUAAGGCCAUAAAGAAUAGCAGUUUAUUAUAUCAAAGAUAUUUUGGUGAUAUCAACUUUUUUUAAAGAUUUAUUUAUUUUUUGGCCGGCGCCGUGGCUCAAUAGGCUAAUCCUCCGCCUUGCAGCGCCGGCACACUGGGUUCUAGUCCCGGUUGGGGCGCCGGAUUCUGUCCCAGUUGCCCCUCUUCCAGGCCAGCUCUCUGCUGUGGCCAGGGAACGCAGUGUAGGAUGGCCCAGGUGCUUGGGCCCUGUACCCCAUGGGAGACCAGGAGAAGCACCCGGCUCCUGCCAUCGGAUCAGUGCGGUGCGCCGGCCGCGGUGCGCCGGCCGCAGCGCGCCAGCCGUGGCGGCCAUUGGAGGGUGAACCAACGGCAAAAGGAAGACCUUUCUCUCAGUCUCUCUGUCUCUCUCUCUCUCUCUCACUGUCCACUCUGCCUGUCAAAAAAAAAAAAAAGAUUUAUUUAUUCGAAAGAGUUACACACACACACACACACACACACACACACACACACUGGUUCACUCCUCAAAGACCACAAUGGCCAGAGCUGAGCUUAUCCAAAGCCAGGAGCUUCUUCUGGGUCUCCUACAUGGGUGCAGGGGCCCAAGGACUUGGGCCAUCUUCUGAUUUCCCAGGCCAUAGCAGGGAGCUGGAUCCGAAGUGGUGCAGCUAGAACUCAAACCGGUGCCCAUAUGGGAUGCCGGCACUGCGGGCGGCAGCUUUAUCCGCUAUGCCACAGUGCCAGCUCCAAUGACACAGUAUUAAUCCGUUGGAAUUUUGUGUUUGUGUGAGCAGAACUCACAAGGGCCUAUUCCUUUAACUGACUUCCCUGAGAAAAUUAGUCGCCAGUCUUCUGCAACCUCAUACAUAUGCAGUCUGCUCUUCACUUCAUUUCUUCUUCUGGCUAACUUGCAAAAUUAGAAUUAUUUGGGAAGCAGUGACACAAAACAUUUAUGAGAAGAACGGCUAAAAAUAUCCAAUAAUGUGGUUAUUCUUUUUAGAUUUCCUUUGGCAGUCAGUGCCUGUCGUCCUGUUAACAUUCUUUCUCUGAGAGGAGCGAGCCUGGCCGGAUGCGCUCUGCUGUGGCCUGAUCCCCAGCUCUUCCUUAGCCCAGAGCAUCAGCCCUUGCGCCCCCACCUCCCCAGCCCGUUAGCUGCCUCCUGACAAGGCACCUGUUAGAGACUCAUUUGUUCCAAGGCCACUGGCGAGCAGUCUCUGUUCAGAAGGAAUGGUGAAAGAGAGUAGGCCCAGGAUAGAUGCAUGCAGAGGCGCUUCUGAGACACAGCCUGGCUGGCUCAUUGACUCGGCCUGUGCGCAUCCCCACCUCAUUGGAGAGGUGCACGUGGGCUGCUUUACAGAGUUCGUGGAACAUGGAGUUGAAACAUGUCUAUUUUGGUGCAAAAUGAUUGAAAUCCAGGCAUAUUUUUUUCAUUAUAUACAUUUUCCAUGAGCUUUUUGAGGACCUCACAUUUGCAUGGAUCUAAAGUAAUUUUUUUGUCCCCCCCCCAAAAAAAAAAACCUUUUAAAUUUAUUUUCUAUGAACUUUUUGAAGAACUCUUGUACAUAUCCUAGGAGUUUUAUCCUUUUUUUCCCUUAAUGAAAAUGUUAUUUGAAGGCAGGGAGGGAGAAAGGGGAAGGGGAAGGGGAGAGGGAGAAGCUUCUCUCCAAAUGCCUGUAACAGCCAGGAGCCCCAUGUGGGUGGCAGGGACUCCAUGUGCAUUAGCAGGAAGCUGGACUUUGGAGUGGAGCUGGUUCUCUGAUAUGGAAUGUGGGCAUCUUUACUUUUUUACUUGCUGUGCCAAAUGGUGCCCCAGAAAUUUUCUUUUAAACAUUUUGAAAUUUAUUCUUAGGAGGCCAGCACCGCGGCUCACUAGGCUAAUCCUCCGCCUAGCGGCGCCGGCACACCGGGUUCUAGUCCCGGUCGGGGCUCCGGAUUCUGUCCCGGUUGCCCCUCUUCCAGGCCAGCUCUCUGCUGUGGCCAGGGAGUGCAGUGGAGGAUGGCCCAGGUGCUUGGGCCCUGCACCCCAUGGGAGACCAGGAAAAGCACCUGGCUCCUGGCUCCUGCCAUCGGAUCAGCGCGGUGCGCCGGCCGCAGC